UACGAAGGGGGCUAGCGUUGCUCGGAAUCACUGGGCGUAAAGGGUGCGUAGGCGGGUUUUUAAGACAGAGGUGAAAUCCUGGAGCUCAACUCCAGAACUGCCUUUGAUACUGAGAAUCUUGAGUACGGGAGAGGUGAGUGGAACUGCGAGUGUAGAGGUGAAAUUCGUAGAUAUUCGCAAGAACACCAGUGGCGAAGGCGGCUCACUGGCCCGUAACUGACGCUGAGGCACGAAAGCCAGGGGAGCAAACGGG
rnacentral:rRNA from 1 species